rnacentral:rRNA from 1 species
CUCCUGGAAACGGGUGGUAAUGCCGGAUGCUCCAGAUGACCGCAUGGGAUUCUGGGAAAGCUUUUGCGGCAUGGGAUGGGGUCGCGUCCUAUCAGCUUGUUGGUGGGGUGAUGGCCCACCAAGGCUUCGACGGGUAGCCGGCCUGAGAGGGCGACCGGCCACAUUGGGACUGAGAUACGGCCCAGACUCCUACGGGAGGCAGCAGUGGGGAAUAUUGCGCAAUGGGCGAAAGCCUGACGCAGCGACGCCGCGUGCGGGAUGGAGGCCUUCGGGUUGUAAACCGCUUUUAUCGGGGAGCAAGCCCUUCGGGGUGAGUGUACCUUUCGAAUAAGCACCGGCUAACUACGUGCCAGCAGCCGCGGUAAUACGUAGGGUGCAAGCGUUAUCCGGAAUUAUUGGGCGUAAAGGGCUCGUAGGCGGUUCGUCGCGUCCGGUGUGAAAGUCCAUCGCUUAACGGUGGAUCCGCGCCGGGUACGGGCGGGCUUGAGUGCGGUAGGGGAGACUGGAAUUCCCGGUGUAACGGUGGAAUGUGUAGAUAUCGGGAAGAACACC